GUUUUAAUAAUUUAUAUAUAAAAUAGUGGUCUUGUAAACCAAAAAAAAGGAAUUAACUUUUAAAACU
rnacentral:tRNA from 1 species